rnacentral:misc_RNA from 1 species
GAAAUGCGAUACUUGGUGUGAAUUGCAGAAUUCCGUGAAUCAUCUAAUUUUUGAACGCACAUUGCACUCUGUUGAAAGGCAGAGUAUGCCUGUUUGAGAAUCUAUAGUAUUUCUUUUGUCAUUUUAGACAAAGAUUUGAACUUUCUCUACAAAGAGUGGUUUGAAAUUUAUCGCUGGUAUUGCUCAAAAGUAAUGAUUCUAAGCAAUACAACAGAACAGUAUGUGAAUGAAACCUUGGUUUCUCAUAAUGCUCAGUAAGUUGUCGCUAGAUAGCUUUUGAUUAAUAAUAGCUCAUAACUAUUAAAGUUUAUUAGUAAUAGUAAACUUUGAACCAUGGUCUCAAAUCAGGUAGGAUUACCCGCUGAACUUAA